CAGCAGCCGCGGGAAUACGUAGGUGGCAAGCGUUGUCCGGAAUUAUUGGGCGUAAAGGGCUCGCAGGCGGUUUCUUAAGUCUGAUGUGAGAGCCCCCGGCUCAACCGGGGAGGGUCAUUGGAAACUGGGAAACUUAAGUGCAGAAGAGGAGAGUGGAAUUCCACGUGUAGCGGUGAAAUGCGUAGAGAUGUGGAGGAACACCAGUGGCGAAGGCGACUCUCUGGUCUGUAACUGACGCUGAGGAGCGAAAGCGUGGGGAGCAAACAGGAUUAGAUACCCGCGUAGUCCCUGUCUCUUAUAC
rnacentral:rRNA from 1 species